ACUGGGAGCAGUGGCAUGUGCCUGCAGUCCUGGCUACUCGGGAGGCUGAGGUGGGAGGAUUGCUUGAGCCCAGGAGUUCUGGGCUGUAGCACACUAUGCCGAUUGGGUGUCCGCACUAAGUUUGGCAUCAAUAUGGUGACCUCCCGGGAGCAGGGGAACACCAGGUUGCCUAAGGAGGGGUGAACCGGCCCAGGUCAGAGACAGAGCCGAUCAAAACUCCCAUGCUGAUCAGUAGUGGGACUGCACCUGUGAAUAGCCACUGCACUCCAGCCUGGGCAACAUGGCAAGACCUCAUCUCU
rnacentral:SRP_RNA from 1 species